ensembl:misc_RNA 7SK 7SK RNA
GGAUAUGAGGGUGAAUUGGCUACAAUAUCUGUCACCCCAUUGAUCACCAGGGUUGAUUCAGCUGAUCUAGCUGGCUAGACAGGUGUCCCCUUCCUCCCUCUCCGCUCUGUGUACAUACCUCCCAAAAUGGUUAAAGAGGACAGCCUUUGCCGAAUAGAGACAGACCGGUCUUCAUUCCAGGGUAUAUGAGUAGCUGCACUCCCCUGCUAAAACCUCCAAACAAGCUCCCAAGAUGAGAUAAAGGAGAUGGUGUCAUCGUUUUUAAUAGCUGAGUAGUAUUCCACUGUGUAUAUACACACAACCUUUUUAGCCACUCAUCUGUCAUUGGGCAUCUAGGUUGCUGCCAAGUUUGGGCUAUUAAA